rnacentral:rRNA from 1 species
GACGAACGCUGGCGGCGUGCUUAACACAUGCAAGUCGAACGGAAAGGCCCUGCUUUUGUGGGGUGCUCGAGUGGCGAACGGGUGAGUAACACGUGAGUAACCUGCCCUUGUCUUUGGGAUAACUUCAGGAAACUGGGGCUAAUACCGGAUAGGAGCCCCUGCUGCAUGGUGGGGGUUGGAAAGUUUCGGCGGUUGGGGAUGGACUCGCGGCUUAUCAGCUUGUUGGUGGGGUAGUGGCUUACCAAGGCUUUGACGGGUAGCCGGCCUGAGAGGGUGACCGGCCACAUUGGGACUGAGAUACGGCCCAGACUCCUACGGGAGGCAGCAGUGGGGAAUAUUGCACAAUGGGCGGAAGCCUGAUGCAGCAACGCCGCGUGCGGGAUGACGGCCUUCGGGUUGUAAACCGCUUUCGCCUGUGACGAAGCGUGAGUGACGGUAAUGGGUAAAGAAGCACCGGCUAACUACGUG